CGGCUCUCUCAACUAAAGAUGGCCGACGAGAGUGAGACAGCAGUGAAGCCACCGGCACCUCAGCUGCCACGGAUGAUGGACGGGAACGGGAACGGUCAUGAACAUUGCAGCGAUUGCGAGAAUGAGGAGGAUAACCGCUACAACCGGAGUGGUUUGAGUCCAGCCAAUGACACUGGAGCCAAAAAGAAGAAAAAGAAGCAGAAAAAGAAGAAAGAAAAAGGCAGUGAGACUGAUUCAGCCCAGGAUCAGCCUAUGAAGAUGAACUCUUUGCCAGCAGAGAGGAUCCAGGAAAUACAGAAAGCCAUUGAACUGUUCUCCGUGGGCCAGGGGCCUGCCAAAACCAUGGAAGAGGCUAGCAAACGAAGCUAACAGCCUGUCCCCAAAUUGGGAGAGGUAGUGAACACCCAUGGCCCUGUGGAGCCAGAGAAAGACAACAUCCGACAGGAGCCCUACACCUUGCCCCAGGGUUUCACCUGGGACGCCUUGGACCUGGGGGACCGCGGGGUGCUGAAAGAACUGUACACACUCCUGAAUGAGAAUUAUGUAGAAGAUGAUGACAACAUGUUCCGAUUCGAUUAUUCCCCAGAAUUUCUUUUGUGGACUCUCCGGCCGCCUGGAUGACUUCCCCAGUGGCACUGUGGGGUUCGAGUGGUCUCCAGUCGGGAACUGGUUGAUUUCAUCAGCGCCAUCCCAGCAAACAUCCAUGUCUAUGACACAGAGAAGAUGGUAGAGAUCAACUUCCUGUGUGUGCACAAGAAGCUACGCUCCAAGAGGGUUGCUCCAGUCUUGAUCCGAGAGAUAACUCGGAGUGUUCACCUGGAGGGGAUUUUCCAAGCUGUUUACACUGCUGGGGUGGUGCUGCCAAAACCUGUUGGCACCUGCAGGUACUGGCAUCGGUCCCUAAAUCCUCGAAAACUGAUUGAAGUCAAGUUCUCCCAUCUGAGCAGGAAUAUGACCAUGCAGCGCACCAUGAAGCUAUACCGACUGCCAGGGACUCCCAAGACAGCUGGCUUACGACUGAUGGAGAAGGAGGACAUUCCAGUAGUGCACCAGCUCCUUACCAGGUACUUGAAGCAGUUCCACCUCGCACCAGUCAUGAGCCGGGAGGAGGUAGAGCACUGGUUCUACCCCCAGGAGAAUAUUAUCGACACUUUUGUGAUGGAGCGUGCAAACAGUGAGGUGACGGACUUCCUGAGCUUUUACACCCUUCCCUCCACCAUCAUGAACCAUCCAACGUUCACACAACGUUUCUACAACGUUCACACCCAGACCCCUCUUCUGGACCUCAUGAGCGAUGCCCUUGUUCUCGCCAAAAUGAAAGGGUUUGAUGUGUUCAAUGCACUGGAUCUCAUGGAGAACAAAACCUGACUGGAGAAGCUCAAGUUUGGGACUGGGGAUGGCAAUCUGCAGUAUUAUCGCUACAAUUGGAAGUGCCCCAGCAUGGGGGCAGAGAAGGUCAGACUGGUGUUACAGUAA